rnacentral:rRNA from 1 species
CCAAUAGCGUAUAUUAAAGUUGUUGCAGUUAAAAAGCUCGUAGUUGAAUUUCGGGAUCAAUUAAUUGGUCAUGCCUAUGGUACGUACUGAUUUUAUUGGUUUCUCCCUUCUGACGAACCAUGAUGUCAUUAAUUUGGUGUCGUGGAGAAUCAGGACUGUUACUUUGAAAAAAUUAGAGUGUUUAAAGCAAGCUAACGCUUGAAUACAUUAGCAUGGAAUA